GGGGGGGAUUCGCCAGAAACUUCCGCAUAGUCCAUAGGCAAGAAGGAUCAUAGAGCUCCAGGAUGGACCCGCUGGAAUGUGUCAUGUCACUGAAGAGCUGUUGUGUACCAACAAUGCUGUUAGCACAGUGUGAUCUCUAAGGGAGGUACAUUAGCAAGCAGGACCAAAACUCUGGAAGCAAGAAAGAUAAUGAGGGAAAUCAGACUCCUCUGGUGACUGGAACAAGAACGCUGGGCCAGCGAGUGGUGGAAUGCCGCAAGCUAAGCCGUGGAUCACAAGAGGAAAAUCUAUUUGGUCCGUGGCUCGGGAAAUCUGCUUUUCCGUCGAAUGGCUGGAGGCACGAAUUGGAUGCAGAGCUCUGGCUCUUCUCCCCCAAGGCCCCAACGCGGACGGCAUUUGGAAGCGGAGGAGUGAGAAAGAGGGAUAGGAAGCAGAGGCGCCGACAGCCAUGAAGUUCCUAAUGCAACUAAUCAAUCAGGAGGUAUGUCGAUUCGUCAGUAUAUUGUGAUCUUUUUCUGUUUUGCACGCGCGGAAGGGGGAACUCGCCGCAGGUGUCGUGGCUGUGUAUAGGUAAGGUCAACCCUCAAGCUCCAUGGUGGGCUAAGAGGUUAGUUCGCAACAUACUAACAUAGAGAUGUAAAAAUUCGUAGGUGGUAAUUGGGAUAGAGUACAUUUGUAGAAAUUUGGUCCUGUUCAUAUAAUUUGGAUAGAGUAUGGUAGUCGCAAGGAAGUAAUUUGGAUAUAGUAUGUUGUAAAUUUUGAUUAGCAGCUUAAUAGGGCAGUUUUGGAACUUUGCAUUUAAGAAAUGUUGCAUCCUUGGGAGAAGAAUUGGUACUCCCUCUGUAAACUAUAUAAGAUCUAAAAGAUUUUAUAUUUACAGUUGGAGUACAAAUGUACCACAAAUGCAGUUCUGCAGAUUUGGCAGAUGCUUUAAGUUUAAUAGAACAGAAUUAGGUACUAGUCAAACAUUUUUUUUCCUGGUUUAGCAGCUAAAUAGGCUGGUGAGUAGAAGUGUGGUCUCACAAGAUACUGGUUCCUUGAGGGAAUAUUUGCAGAGGCAUUUUAAAAAAUUGGAUGCUUAGGAAGAUUUUUUGUAAACAUGAUUUGCAUAACCUGUAGUUUUUUUGUCUGUUUGAAGCGAACUCGUCAUUCAGUCUAUCACCUUAUCAUUUUUGUUAUGAAAUGAAUCAUUAGUAGCAUGCCUUUUCUCUUCUUCCCAUAUUGUUUUCUGUCACAUUAAGCAUGAUUUUUUAUGUUUAUUUGAAGCAGAGGGCCUGAUGCAAAACUGUAUCAUAUUUUUACUGAUUUUUGCUGCGACGAGCCCCUUUAUUUGCUUUGCUUACAAAGCUAAUAUUUAAAUCUUUUGAUAUUUUUAGCAGAUGUUUUGGUUGAAUUGAACGGUCCAUAAGUUACAUCAUCAUAUGUUGUUCUAGCCUAUUUGAAGCUUUAGAUUUAUUUCAUAUAUGGAUCUUGGACUACAAACCGAAUCUGGAUUUGGUGACUUCAUAACCAUUGCAGCCCUGUUUCUGGUUUAUCCCUUUACGUUGGGUAUGGAUGUGUUCAUGCGUUUGUGGAUGAAGCGAAGCUUCUGUAGACUAGUAGGCGAUGGUCUUUAUAGGGCCACCCAUUGUUUUUCUGCAAUUUGUUGUGUUCUUGCUCUUCCACCUAUUUACUGAUUUGUUUACUGAUGUUACAGAAAUCUAAACCUGAAAUUAUAUUCAUCCAUGGAGUCAGGAAACAAGAACUGGAUCCAUGUGUGAAAUGACAUGUUCAAUAAACCUUCGGAGCUUGGCACUAAUAUGUUCGGCGGCUGCCAUCAAACUCUUUUGCAAUCUUAGAGCCCGCCUCUAACAUGCAGAUGGUCCAUCAGCGUAAUUUGAUGAACUUGAAUAUGCUAGGCACUACUAGAAGUUUGGAAACCCUAAACUCAAAUUCUAGAAUUCUUGUACCUUUCCUGUUCUACAGCCAAAGGCUGUUUAUCUCAAUUCCUGAGAUUUUGUUUCCCAAUACAACAGGAGAUGUCUUGACAUCACAAUCAUGUGUUUAUUUU